ensembl:lncRNA
GAUCAGUGUCCUCAAGAACAGAAAAAGUACCGUCAGAAGACACCCUAAAAACCUUUAAAGUAAUGUCUGAUGAACUGAGUAUCACUUCUGGGCCAGUGUCAUCAGGAGCAGAAAAAGUAGACACUCUAAAAACCUCCAUAUCCGAAUCUGAACCGAGUACAGAGGAAGUGGAAAAUGCAAAAUCACGUGAAGAGGCAACACCCACCAGCACUGAACCAGUUUCGUCUUCCACAGAUGUUGAAGAGCAAUCUGGCAAAGGCAUAUUCUCACUUUUUGGCACUUCAUCUUCGGGUCAAACUCAGCCUAAGAGUGGACUGUCCAUACUAGGAGGGAUACUCCCUGGGUCCUCAUCCUCUAAAGAAAUGCCAGGUACAGGAUUAUUCUCAAUGUUUGGAAGUUCUGCUCCUCAAGAAACCCAAACACCAUCUGCACCUAAAGAGCCACCUGGAAAGGGCUUAUUUUCUAUAUUUGGGGGAUCUGUUGCUCAGUCACAACCUGGCCAGCAAGGUUCACCUAUGUCUGGCCCAAAGGAUCUGCCUGUAGGACCAAGACUACCACACAUGCCUACUCCAAGGAUGGCUCCAGGACCUGGACCAAGAGGACCACCAGGACAUGUUCCAAGAACUACAUCGGGACCUGCACCAAGGGGUCCAACUCCAAGAGGGCCCGCUUCCAAAGAACCACUGGGCAAAGGACUAUUUUCUGUGUUCGGUGGGUCUUCUCAGCCGACAGCACCAACAGGGGGAACUGCUGCAAAAACACCUGGGUCUGGAUCCUCAAUACUUGGAGGUAUUUUGCCUGGUUCUGGGCUCAAGGAAAACAAUGGCCCUGGUUUAUUUUCCAUGUUUGGUGGAGGUAGUUCUCAAUCCCAAGCACCAGGUGAUGCUGCUGCAGCUGAAUCUACAAAUAAGGAAUCAACCGGAAAAGGAUUGUUUUCCAUGUUUGGUGGGCCAAGUCCAAUGGUAAGCUCUGAACCAGAAAGUCUCUUUAAAGUUUCUUCUGUGUUCUCAUCAGAUAAAGCAAAAUCUACUGGAUUCAGCCUCAUGUCUUUUAUGGAUGAUAAGAAAUCUGAUUCAAAACCUGCAGAUGCAUCCACUGUAAGGGCGGAUUCUCUCACAUUCUCUCACUCUCACAAUAUAACACCCCCACCUUUAACUGAUGCAAUUACAGAUGAACAUACAUCAGUUGAGGCUAAAGAAGAGGUUCCUGCAGAUAUCACCUUUGAACCUCCUGGAAAGAAGGAUGAGAAACUGAGUGAUAAAAAGAAGGAAGAGUCUGGGAAUGGUACAGGGAGGACUGAUGAAAUGCACCUCGCCAUAAAUGAUGAUACAAAGUCUGAAAUGGUGACACUAAUUAAAGAGACUGAAGAGGUUGCACCUCUGUCAGAGAAACAAGCUGAAAAGGAAGAAACUUCAACGGUUGACAAAGUACACAAGGAACAGACCAUUAAUGAGAAAGUUAAUGAGGAGCUGGACAUGAAAAAUUACAAAGAAACUAUAGCCACUAGUUCAGAGAAAACUGAUUAUGUGACACCAAUAAACGAGACUGAAGAGAUUGUACCUUUGGCUGAGGAGCAGUCUAAAAAUGAAGACAUUUCUGUUGUUGACAAAAUGUAUGAGGAACAAACCAAUAAUGAGCAACUUAAAAAUGAGGAACUGGAUAUGGAAAAUGACAAAGAAACUGUAGCCACUGGUCCAGAAUCUGACAAAGAUUUAAACCAACUUGUGCAUGAAAAAUCAUCCGAGCAAGAGAGAGUUUUAGAGCCUUUUGAGCUUGAGAAACCAACAGAGGUCUCAUUAGAAUCUGAGAAAACUGUAGAGCCUGAAAAAUCAUCUGAAUCACGAGACCCAGUGCAGAAAAACUCAGAAUCAGAAGAAUGUGUGGAACUGGAAAACUCUCAGGAAACUAACAAACCUCUGGAUUCUGAGAAACCCUCAGAAAAUGAGAAAAAUCUCUCUAAAGGAACAGGGGAAGUUGAUGCUGUACAAAUAGCAGACAAAAUUUCAGCUGAAUCUGAAAAAGGCAUUGCAUUGACAAUUUCUGACAGCCAGCAAGCAGACCUUAAGGAAAAACCAGAUGAAAUCACAAAGUUAAAAGAAUGUGACAAAACAUUAAUAGUAGCAACCACACAACCAUCUUUAGAUCCACAGUUGAUUUCUUCUGUUCAGCAGCAGCAACAGCCCAAACCAGACACUAUUGUACCUCAGCCAGGAAAAGUGGGUUUUCCUGCUCAGCCAAGACCGAGAAUGGCAGGAGCUUUUUGUCAGCCCAGACCCGGAAUGCCUGGACCAAGAGGACCUAGACCUGCCAUUAAUCAACCAAGACCAAGAAUGCCCGGAUCUCAAAGACCCCCAGAGCCUGCUGGAUUUUCUGGGUUUAUGUCAAUGUUUUCUGGCCCAAGUGCUCCUAGCAAGCCAGCAACUUCUAGUUUCUUCUCAGUGCCACAGACCUCUUUCUUCAAGUCAUCACCACCUUCUGCUCCAGCACAACCACAACAGCAGAAGAGCUCAUUUUUUAAUCUUCCAACCAGCAUGCCAACGGACUCCCUCACAGGUGAUCUGUUUGGAUUGUUUAAAGGUACAGAAGCAGUAAAAUCAGAUGAAACCAAGCUGUCAGAGAAAGGUCAUGAUGAAACACAAGACUCUAAAGAGCAAGUGAGCCUCGCUGCUAGUAAGUCAAGUGCAGUCUCUGAACCUGAGUCAACUUU